rnacentral:rRNA from 1 species
AUUGAACGCUGGCGGCGUGCUUAACACAUGCAAGUCGAGCGGUAACAGGCGUAGCAAUACGUGCUGACGAGCGGCGAACGGGUGCGUAAUACAUGGGAAUCUGCCCUUUGGUGGGGAAUAACCCGGCGAAAGCCGGGCUAAUGCCGCAUAAGAUCUUCGGAUGAAAGCGGGGGAUCGUAAGACCUCGCGCCGAUGGAUGAGCCCAUGUCGGAUUAGCUAGUCGGUGAGGUAACGGCUCACCAAGGCGACGAUCCGUAGCUGGUCUGAGAGGACGGCCAGCCACACUGGGACUGAGACACGGCCCAGACUCCUACGGGAGGCAGCAGUGGGGAAUAUUGGACAAUGGGGGAAACCCUGAUCCAGCGACGCCGCGUGUGUGAAGAAGGCCUGCGGGUUGUAAAGCACUUUCGAUGGGAACGAAAUGUGCCGGGCUAAUACCCCGGCAAGCUGACGUUACUCAAUGAAGAAGCACCGGCUAACUCUGUGCCAGCCGCCGCCGUAACAC